AUAGGAGAUUUUAACGAGAUCCUACUCUCGUUGGAAAAGGAGGGCGGAGCCCCGCGUCAUCAGUCGCGACUACAAGCCUUUCAAGACGCAUUGGCAGAUUGUUCCUUAGAGGAUAUUGGGUAUAAUAGUAACAAAUUCACUUGGUUCUGCGGCGGCCUGAAAGAGCGACUUGAUUGGGCUGUUUCAAACGGCGACUGGAUGGAGAUGCACCCGUUAUUUGGACUUUGCAACCUGGAAAUGGGGUAGUCGGACCACCGACCUAUAUGCCUAGAUACUGAAUAUAUGGCAAGGGUUGCAUCGCCCAGGAUUAGAACUGCUCGUAAGUUUGAGAUGUGUUGGCUGGCAGGAGAGUUGGUGGAGCAAGUAGUGAAAAACAGCAUGGCAAAAAGCUGCAGUACAAGGUCUUUGUCCGUCAGCAUGAGAGAAGCUUGA
rnacentral:rRNA from 1 species